rnacentral:rRNA from 1 species
AGAGUUUGAUCCUGGCUCAGGAUGAACGCUAGCGGCAGGCUUAACACAUGCAAGUCGAGGGGCAGCGGGGAGGAAGCUUGCUUUCUCCGCCGGCGACCGGCGCACGGGUGAGUAACACGUAUGCAACCUGCCCCUGUCAGGGGGACAACCCGCCGAAAGGCGGGCUAAACCCGCGUACAUGCCACCGGGGCAUCCCGGAGGCAGGAAAGGCUUCGGCCGGACAGGGAUGGGCAUGCGGCGCAUUAGGCAGUAGGCGGGGUAACGGCCCACCUAACCGACGAUGCGUAGGGGUUCUGAGAGGAAGGUCCCCCACACUGGUACUGAGACACGGACCAGACUCCUACGGGAGGCAGCAGUGAGGAAUAUUGGUCAAUGGUCGGGAGACUGAACCAGCCAAGCCGCGUGAGGGAGGAAGGUACAGAGUAUCGUAAACCUCUUUUGUCAGGGAACAAAGACUGGGACGCGUCCCCGGAUGAGUGUACCUGAAGAAAAAGCAUCGGCUAACUCCGUGCCAGCAGCCGCGGUAAUACGGAGGAUGCGAGCGUUAUCCGGAUUUAUUGGGUUUAAAGGGUGCGCAGGCGGUCUGUUAAGUCAGCGGUCAAAGCCCGGGGCUCAACCCCGGCCCGCCGUUGAAACUGGCAGUCUCGAGUUGGAGAGAAGUAUGCGGAAUGCGCGGUGUAGCGGUGAAAUGCAUAGAUAUCGCGCAGAACUCCGAUUGCGAAGGCAGCAUGCCGGCUCCACACUGACGCUGAGGCACGAAAGCGUGGGUAUCGAACAGGAUUAGAUACCCUGGUAGUCCACGCAGUAAACGAUGAAUGCUGGCUGUCCGGGGGGACUGACCCCUGGGUGGCGAAGCGAAAGCGAUAAGCAUUCCACCUGGGGAGUACGCCGGCAACGGUGAAACUCAAAGGAAUUGACGGGGGCCCGCACAAGCGGAGGAACAUGUGGUUUAAUUCGAUGAUACGCGAGGAACCUUACCCGGGCUCAAACGGGGAGUGGCGCAGGCAGAGACGCCUGUUUCCCACGGGACACUCCCCGAGGUGCUGCAUGGUUGUCGUCAGCUCGUGCCGUGAGGUGUCGGCUUAAGUGCCAUAACGAGCGCAACCCCCGCGUGCAGUUGCUAACAGUCAACGCUGAGGACUCUGCACGGACUGCCGGCGCAAGCCGCGAGGAAGGCGGGGAUGACGUCAAAUCAGCACGGCCCUUACGUCCGGGGCGACACACGUGUUACAAUGGGUGGUACAGCGGGAAGCCAGGCGGCGACGCCGAGCGGAACCCGAAAUCCACUCUCAGUUCGGAUCGGAGUCUGCAACCCGACUCCGUGAAGCUGGAUUCGCUAGUAAUCGCGCAUCAGCCAUGGCGCGGUGAAUACGUUCCCGGGCCUUGCACACACAGCCCGUCAAG